UAAUGACGGUACCGGAAGAAUAAGCACCGGCUAACUACGUGCCAGCAGCCGCGGUAAUACGUAGGGUGCGAGCGUUUWUCGGAAUUACUGGGCGUAAAGGGUGCGCGGGCGGUUUUUUAAGUCAGGUGUGAAAUCCCCGGGCUCAACCUGGGAACUGCCUUUGAGACUGSAAGUCUAGAGUGUGGGAGAGGKRGGUGGAAUUCCRNGUGUAGCGGUGAAAUGCGUAGAUAUGUGGAAGAACACCGGUGGCGAAGGCAGCCCCCUGGGNUAACACUGACGCUGAGGCACGAAAGCGUGGGGAGCAAACAGGAUUAGAUACCCUGGUAGUCCACGCCCUAAACGAUGUCUACUAGUUGUCGGGGAUUUCUCUCC
rnacentral:rRNA from 1 species